rnacentral:rRNA from 1 species
ACGAACGCUGGCGGCGUGCCUAAUACAUGCAAGUAGAACGCUGAAGAGAGGAGCUUGCUCUUCUUGGAUGAGUUGCGAACGGGUGAGUAACGCGUAGGUAACCUGCCUUGUAGCGGGGGAUAACUAUUGGAAACGAUAGCUAAUACCGCAUAACAAUGGAUGACACAUGUCAUUUAUUUGAAAGGGGCAAUUGCUCCACUACAAGAUGGGCCUGCGUUGUAUUAGCUAGUAGGUGAGGUAAUGGCUCACCUAGGCGACGAUACAUAGCCGACCUGAGAGGGUGAUCGGCCACACUGGGACUGAGACACGGCCCAGACUCCUACGGGAGGCAGCAGUAGGGAAUCUUCGGCAAUGGGGGCAACCCUGACCGAGCAACGCCGCGUGAGUGAAGAAGGUUUUCGGAUCGUAAAGCUCGGUUGUAAGUCAAGAACGGGUGUGAGAGUGGAAAGUUCACACUGUGACGGUAGCUUACCAGAAAGGGACGGCUAACUACGUG